ACAUGGCCUCUAUUCAGAAAUUUAACCAUUUACACACAACAGAAAGAAUUUUCCUCAAGAUCACUACUUUUGCCCAGUAUAUCUGAUUGUCUUUCUGCUUCAAAUCUCCAGAAAAUGUAUUCCCUUUAACAACUUAACUGGGAGAAGGAGGAAAGAAACCUAAGCAGAUACGACUCCACCUAAGUUUUAUGAGGAACCUUCGAAGGAAGCUCUGAGAAAAACAAGUCUGUGUCUUUUUCUCCUUCUUAGACUAGGCUUUUGACAUCUAACAGUGUGCACAUUUACCAAUUAACAGUUAUGUUCUUACUGGUUGAGAGAACAAGGCAUUAACACAUCUGGUGUCUGCUGCGGCUGGUCCCAGGAGACCUGUAGAGAGGCCAAGUGGUUGCUGUGGGCUUUUGCUACCUCUUUGGACAGUCACUGCCUAUAUGAGACGAGGAGGCCGGACCCUCUCAGCUCCUGACAUCCUCUCUAACCUCCUGUGAUCCAGUCACCCUGUGGGCAAACCAAAGCAGCCCUGGCCCCUCUCCAGCAGUGUCUCCCUGGAGGGCUCGGCCUCUUGGGUUUUACUUCGCUCUCAGUUUAUGCCUUCAUUCUCCUCUCACCCUCAUUAACCAAGAGGAAAAACUAAUUCUAGAAAGGACUCCAUUUCCCCCAUAUUGUAUAUUUCAUAUCCGCAGAGCACGCUGUGCCCUAUUAAGAAUUAAACUGCGAGCACUAACCUCAUCUCAUUUGUGCCAGGGGUCUUGUUCACAACCUGCUUCCCCAGCAAAGCAGGGCCAUGGGUUAGGACCCCCCCACCCCACACACACACAUGCUUGGUGGAGUGGUUCCCAUCUCUUUUUAAUGCCUUUGGCAGGGGACAGAGAGAUAGAGAGAGAGAGAAGGAAAGACAGGGAGAGAAAGCAAGAGAAAAAAAGAAAAACACAAAAGAAGAACAAGAGGGAAAGAAAAGCUCUCGAACAGCAGCCCUGCAUUUUGUUAGAACAUUGGCACUGCAUUUAUCAGGAUUACUGGAGGGAGAGCAGGGUUUGAUCCUCUUCUCCACUGGGAGAGGGAAAAGCUUUAUUGUACCUUUUUUAACAUCUCACAGUUAGAUCAGAACAAUACACUGUGUGUGUACAUAUACACCAUACGUAUGUGCCUAAGGAUGGUAUUCUACUUGGGACACACCCUGUUUUCAAAGCAUGGCUGAAUUUUUCAUAAAGGCCAGAUACAGAAAGCCACCAGGCUCUCCCUGGGUCUCCCUUCCCAGCAGACCUUCCCCCACUCCCCACCCCCUUGCCCGACUUGGAUCAGCAGGAUUCACUCCUGUCAAACAAAUUAGAGCAUCUAUGAAAUGGGGCUAUCGACAUGUGUGACUUGAUCUGUUUUAAUAGGGGCCCGGUGGGAGUUUCCUCCCUGCCCCACUGAGCUUUGUAUUCUUCACGGAAAGGCAGACGGGGCGCGGGAGGAUGCUGUGGACUUUAACCCUUUGCUGCCAGCAGGUUGCCUGCCUCCUGCGUGCAGCCGCUUCCUUUUUGUGCCUGGCCAUUGUCUGGGGAGUGCGUGCGGCCUGCCAUGCUCUUCAUGCUUGUUAUCUCACAGGAGACAAGCUCACCCCGGGAGAGGAAGAGAGAGCUGCAUUCUGAAGCAGAUCUUUUUGAUUCCCUUUCUUUCCUCUUCCCUCUAAAAUAAUUAGAAGUGCUGGUCAAGGUAUUAAAAAAAAAAAAAAAAA
rnacentral:lncRNA from 1 species